UCAGCGUUUUUAAGCCUUGGAGUAUCUUUGUCCACGUCUGUAGCCGAUUGUGUGAGCAGAAAUGGGUCGACAAGUUUUACAUAAAAGAUGAAAACGUUAUCAACGCCUGAAGUCUUUUUUGUCAGCUAUCUGUCUAGCAUGGUCCAGAACGCUUGUGCGAGGACAGAAUAGUAAAAGGACAGUUACACGGCGGGCUAGAACCAGAUUCACUGUCGACCACACACUGCAGCCAAGACAAGAACAUCAUGGACCAACAAAGGCAAGCAGACCAAACCGGAGAUUUUGAGGUCGUGUCACAAAUUGCAGGGUCCAAGUCAUCUGGGAGAUCAAGUAGGUCCUCAGCCAGUGCAGCAGCUACCAAGGCAAAAGCUAAAGCAGAGGCGGCCCUGGUAGAAGCCAGGUAUGCAGCACAAGAAG